rnacentral:rRNA from 1 species
AUUGAACGCUGGCGGCGUGCCUAACACAUGCAAGUCGAGCGGUAACAGGUGUAGCAAUACAUGCUGACGAGCGGCGAACGGGUGAGUAAUGCUUUGGAAUCUUCCCAGUAGUGGGGAAUAACCAGUCGAAAGAUUGGCUAAUACCGCAUACGUCUGUAAAGGGAAAGCGGGGGCUCGUAAGACCUCGCGCUAUUGGAUGAGCCAAAGUCGGAUUAGCUAGUUGGGGGGUAAUGGCCUACCAAGGCGACAAUCCGUAGCUGGUCUGAGAGGACGACCAGCCACACCGGAACUGAGACACGGUCCGGACUCCUACGGGAGGCAGCAGUGGGGAAUAUUGGACAAUGGGGGAAACCCUGAUCCAGCGACGCCGCGUGUGUGAAGAAGGCCUGCGGGUUGUAAAGCACUUUUAGUGGGGAACAAAAAGCUACGGAUUAAUACUCUGUGGUCUUG